rnacentral:lncRNA from 1 species
CAGCGCCUGGAGAGGCUGGGACCGCGGGGAGGGGACGUGGUGGAGGCGGGGGGUGGGGCGGGGGCUGGGGACCAGGGAGUCCGAGGUGGCCGGGGCUGCGACGGGGAAUUCGAGACUGUCCGAACUGGGCAGAGAAGAAGGGCCGACCGGGAGAGUCGGGCAGAUCCGCAGGUGACAGGCACUUCCGACUCCAGCAGAGAAGGGGACACUGAUCACGGAAAACCUUCGGAGGCAAGAGACGCGGGGCUCCCCGGGUUUCACGUUCGGUCCCUGUCUCGCAACCCCCGCGGGCCCGGCAGAGUUAGUUUUGAAUUUAUGGCAGCGCUUUGCCGAGCGCUAUUUGGGUAAACUUCGGUCUCCGGCGGGGGUUUCCGUGGGCAGGUGGUUUGGGUGUUGGUGGUAGAAUAAUGCAAACCCACUUUCAUCACUUUUAGCACAACUAAAAUGCAGUCCCAUGGAAGUAGCUGUCCCCUUCCUUUAAAAACGUCCGUCAGAUGCUCCCUGACCCUCUUCUAAAAAAAAAAAAAAAAGAAAGAAAGAAAGAAAAAAACGUGUAUAUGUUCUUUUGUCUGGGAAAUUGAUUUUUAUUAGCAUUUGGAGACUCCCCUGGCGAUGGACUACAGGACUGAAGGAGAACAGCUCAAAUUGGCGGUGUAGCCACCUUACUAAUUCAAGAGAAAUGGCUGUUGCUAGAAGGUGUGAUUGCAGGGUGCUCUUUAGAAAGGUUUUAGAAGGAAGACAUUGUUAACUUUAGUUAGAGGCGAUUGGUAACUGAACAUAGAUAAACUUACUUGUAUUCCUUAGGUGAAAAUUGUCAUCUAUGACCAUUUAUUUGUAUUUUGAUAAAAAUCUAAUACAUAUAUCCAAACUGUUCCUUUGCAAGUUUUUCCAACUCAGUUGACAAAAUAAGCAUAUAGAUGAUUACAUCUACUUCCUUCCCAAUAGUAGGGAACUUCUUAAAUACUUGAGUUAAUUGAACACCCUAAAAGAUUGGGAGGUGAAAAUAUUUGCCUCAUUCACUCAGUCUUGAGGCUGGGAGAUGUCUACUCAUUAGCAUACCUGUUGGCACAGCAGGCCUCAUCAUCAUUUAAGUAUCCAAAUAAUUUGAUUUUUGACUGGUAUUUAUUCAUGAUAUGUCAUGUAACACAAAGUACAAUGUAGAAUUGGCAGUUAUUUAGUUAAUUAGGUCGCUCUACACUGCCAAGUAGUUUUUUCCUUCCUGAUUAAAUGAAAAAUGAAUUAUCUGCUGAAUUUUCACCAGUAUUAAAUUGACGUAGCCCUGCUAUAUGCCAUCCCAUUUGCAAACCAAUGUGUAAUUUAGGAAAAUUUUAGUAUUAAGAGUGAAAGUUGA